rnacentral:rRNA from 1 species
AUGCCUCGCUCCCUCGCCGGCGACCUCACCGACCCGGAGAUGGCGCAGCCCUACAUGAAGAAGGAUGACGACGACUCCGACAUCGAGUACUCACCAUUUUUCGGGAUUGAGAAGGGGGCUGUUCUGCAGGAGGCACGUGCUUUCCAUGACCCCCAGCUUGAUGCCAGACGAUGCUCGCAAGUUAUCACCAAGCUAUUAUAUUUAAUUAAUCAAGGAGAGUCAUUUACAAAGGUUGAGGCCACAGAAGUUUUCUUUGCAGUUACGAAGCUAUUCCAGUCCAAUGAUGCUGGUCUCAGGAGGCUGGUGUAUUUGAUGAUCAAAGAGCUUUCUCCAUCAUCAGACGAGGUUUUCAUAGUCACAAGCUCAUUGAUGAAAGAUAUGAACAGUAAGACAGAUAUGUACCGUGCCAAUGCAAUUAGAGUUCUCUGUAGAAUAAUAGACGGCAACCUCCUUACUCAAAUCGAGAGAUACUUGAAGCAAGCUAUUGUAGACAAAAAUCCUGUGGUUGCUAGUGCUGCUCUUGUUAGUGGUAUCCACCUGCUUCAGGCAAAUCCAGAAAUUGUGAAAAGAUGGAGCAACGAAGUGCAGGAAGCUGUGCAAUCAAGAGCUGCACUUGUGCAAUUUCAUGGCCUUGCUCUUCUUCAUCAGACCAGACAGAAUGAUCGUUUGGCUGUUAGCAAGCUCGUCUCUAGUUUGACUAGGGGGUCAGUGCGCUCACCCCUUGCACAAUGUCUUCUGAUUCGUUACACGAGCCAGGUAAUACGUGAGUCAAGCAACACCCAAAGUGGUGAUCGCCCAUUUUUUGAUUAUCUGGAAUCAUGUCUCAGACAUAAAGCAGAAAUGGUGAUUUUAGAGGCUGCGAGGAAAAUAACAGAGAUGGAUGUGACAAGUCGUGAAUUAGCACCAGCGAUUACCGUGUUACAGUUAUUUUUGAGCUCAUCCAAACCCGUGCUUCGAUUUGCAGCUGUCCGAACACUCAAUAAGGUUGCUAUAACACGCCCUUUGGCAGUGACAAACUGCAAUGUUGACUUGGAGAGUCUGAUGUCAGACCAGAACAGGAGUAUAGCGACCCUGGCAAUCACUACACUUCUUAAAACUGGCAAUGAAUCAAGUGUGGAUCGCCUCAUGAAACAAAUUACCAGUUUCAUGUCUGACAUAUCAGAUGAAUUCAAGAUAGUUGUCAUUGAAGCUAUACGAUCUCUUUGCCUGAAGUUCCCACUGAAGUAUCGUUCAAUGAUGAUUUUCUUAAGUAACAGUUUGAGAGAAGAAGGGGGCUUUGAGUAUAAAAAGGCCAUAGUUGAUUCUAUAGUUACCCUGAUCGGCGCGAUACCAGACGCGAAAGAAAUUGGUCUUCUGCAUCUUUGCGAAUUCAUUGAAGACUGUGAAUUCACAUAUCUUUCUAGUCAGGUUGACACAUCUUCAGGGGAAGCUGAUGAAGAUGGUGUGGAGGAUGAAUACCAACUAGAAGACCUUGAAAUUGUUUCAGCUGAUUAUAUGCUGAGGGUCGCAGUUUCUAACUUUAGGAAUGCCUGGGAGAAUAUGGACCCAGAAAGUGAGCGUGUGGAUGAGUAUGGACUCGGGGCUAGAGAGAGCUUGGCUGAGGCCGUGAGUGCUGUCACUAGUAUCCUUGGCAUGCAACCGUGUGAGGGCACUGAGGUUGUACCAAGCAAUGCAAGAUCGCAUGUUUGCCUGCUUUCUGGAGUGUAUAUAGGGGGCGUCAAGGUUCUUGUCAGGUUAUCAUUGGGACUAAGCGGGCCCAAGGAAGUGGCAAUGAAGCUGGCGGUAAGGUCAGAUGACCCCGAAGUCAGCGACAAGAUCCAUGAGAUUGUUGCCAGUGGGUAA